GCGAUGGACCACAGCUGUCGCGUCAUAGACGCUUUCGGCGUCUAUGGUGAGGAAAGUCCGGGCUCCGCAGGGCAUGAUGCCGGGUAAUUCCCGGGCGGAAGCGCCAAGACGCUUCCGACAGCCAGCGCAACAGAAAGCAAACCGCGAUCCUUCUCUCAGGUUUUGGCCCGAGGGAGGGUUGUAAGGGUGAAAAGGUGGGGUAAGAGCCCACCGCGGGAUCGGCAACGAUCCCGGCACGGCAAGCCUCAUCAGGAGCAAAGUCAAACAGUGGUAGAACGGCCCGUUUUAUACUGCGGGUAGACUGCGUGGAGGGGAUCCGUGAGGAUUCCGCCAGAUAGAUGACAGCCGGUACGAGGUACCGCACAGAACCCGGCUUAUGGUUCAUCGCUUUU
rnacentral:RNase_P_RNA from 1 species